rnacentral:misc_RNA from 1 species
UCCGUGUUCACCACGGCAGUCUCUUUAGAGAGCCCAACUUAAUGCCGGCAACUAAAGACAAGGGUUGCGCUCGUUGCGGGACUUAACCCAACAUGUCACCACACGAGCUGACGACAACCAUGCAGCACCUGUCUUCCGGUCGUAUUGCUACGAAAGCCCUAUCUCUAGGGUUGUCCGGAGAUGUCAAAUCCAGGUAAGGUUCUUCGCGUUGCUUCGAAUUAAACCACAUGAUCCACCGCUUGUGCGGGCCCCCGUCAAUUCCUUUGAGUUUUAGCCUUGCGGCCGUACUCCCCAGGCGGGGCACUUAAUGCGUUAGCGCCGGCACGGGAGGAGUCGACACCUCCCACACCUAGUGCCCAUCGUUUACGGCGUGGACUAC